rnacentral:rRNA from 1 species
GACGAACGCUGGCGGCGUGCUUAACACAUGCAAGUCGAACGAAGUGGCGGACGGGUGAGUAACGCGUAAUCAACCUGCCCUUCAGAGGGGGACAACAGUUGGAAACGACUGCUAAUACCGCAUACUGAGGGAGGGGAUUGCUUCCGAUUGGCUAGUUGGAGGGGUACCGGCCCACCAAGGCGAUGAUCAGUAGCCGGUCUGAGAGGAUGAGCGGCCACAUUGGGACUGAGACACGGCCCAGACUCCUACGGGAGGCAGCAGUGGGGAAUAGUGGGCAAUGGGGGCAACCCUGACGCAGCCAUGCCGCGUGAAUGAAGAAGGCCUUCGGGUUGUAAAGUACUUUCGGUAGCGAAGCGUUAUCUACAGAAGAAGCACCGGCUAACUCCGUGCCAGCAGCCGCGGUAAUAC